rnacentral:lncRNA from 1 species
AUGGAGCUGCCCUGGAAAAGCCAGGCAGAGAUUUGGGCCAGAACAAAAAAAGGGCUCGAAAGAGAGAGAGAGAGAGAGAAAAAAAAAAAAAAAAAAAGGGGGGGAAACAAAGAGGAUCUGUCUGCAUUACACAACGGGACCAGGGACUCUGAAUGGGGGUUUGUUGUGGUGUCCCCCCCCCUCAACCCCCCGGCACGUCCUCCUGCCCGUGCCCUGGCUUUUACACCAAACCCCAGGCACGGGGAGGAGGAGGUUUCGGGGCUGUUUUGCAACAGGUUACUCCCCUUCUGCCCCUUCAGCUUUUUUAACCCGUUCUACAAAUGCCUUUUUAUGCCCAUACCCAACGCUGGUGGGGCUGGUGCCUGCCCUGUGCCCCACGGAUGCUGCCCCACGACUGUGUCUGGCCACGGGUGGCGGGUUUCCCCCCUCUCUCACCGAGUCCUGUCCCAUCCCCCCCACCCAGGCAAAAUCUUUUUCCGAGACGCCGUGGGAUUUAGAAGCCGGGGCGUGGGAGGGCGGCUGUUUUCUCAGCCCGACGAGUUUGCUCAAGGUCCCGGCUGCGCCGUGGUGCCUUCAAGGUCCCACGGGACCAGCCAGGUUUGGCUGGCAACCCCCCCCCUUUCCACCGUCAAGCCGGCCUGGCCACCUGUGGGGGGAGAGGGAUGGUUAACGGGGUGUCUGAGGCCAGGGACCCGGGGACCAGUAGAACCCGCCCGCCCGGUUGAGGCGUCGUGGGCCACAUGGGCGUCGAGCGGGGUUGCCCACGCCGUGGGGAUGGGUUUGGCUGCACCGGGCUGGUGUGGGGAGGAGGGGGGGGUGGUGGUAUUUCCCACCCCACCGGGGCUGGCAAACCCACCAAAAACCCAAAGGGGGCUGUGGGCUUUGUUUCCCUGGGUGCCCCCAUCUUGGGCCACCAUCAUCACCCAUGGGACCUGGCUGGGGCUGGGGGGGCGGGGGGGUGCCCUUGCCUGGGUGGGCACUUGGGGAGUGGGGGGCAAGACCCCCAGGGCUCAGGGUGGG